rnacentral:sRNA from 1 species
GUGUUGAGCGGCUUUGAGACUGGGGUAUCUGUCCCCAGAGCUCAGAGCAGAGGUGGGGCAGUAACUCCGUGCCCACGGGCACAGGCGGGGUCACUGACUGAGGAGAAUGGCUCGAGGCUGAGCCGUCCCUCACACGGGGCCAGCGUGGACACUUGGCGUCCUCCCUUCGGUCUUUGCGUGUCUGUUGUUGAGCCCAGUGUGUGUGUUUGUGUGUGUGUGUGUGUGUGUGUGUGUGUGUGUGAGCACAAGAAGCUGGUGCCCGUGUACACACUGCUCUGUGACCUGUUUGCACCCAGCAGCCUGUGUGGGAAAGGAACUGCUGCCUUCAGCCCAUCCCAUCCUUUAUUGCCACUGAGACAGAAACAGCAGAAAUCCAUACAGGGAGAGGACAUCCCUGAUCAGCGACAUCGAUCGAAUUCUUUGACCCGAGUUGAUGGUCAGCCUCGAGGAGCAGCAAUAGCCUGGCCAGAAAAAAAAACCAGGCCUGCGUCCCAGCCAACACCUUUUGCUCUACAUCACGCUGCGAGUUGUGAAGUGGAUCCCAGCUCUGGCGACAGCAUCAGCUUGGCCCGCUCUAUCAGCAAAGACAGUUUGGCAUCCAACAUUGUUAAUCUGACCCCACAGAACCAGCCACACCCCACGGCCACGAAGACCCACGGGAAGAGCCUCCUGAGCAAUGUCAGUAUUGAGGAUGAGGAAGAAGAGCUUGUGGCUAUUGUUAGAGCAGACGUGGCUCCCCAGCAGGCUGACCCGGAGUUCCCCAGGGCCUCACCUCGGGCCUUAGGCCUUAUAGCAAAUGCCCGGUCUCCCCAAGGACAGCUGGACACCUCGGAAAGUAAGCCUGACAGUUUUUUCUUGGAGCCUUUGAUGCCAGCAGUGCUUAAGCCAGCGAAAGAGAAGCAGGUGAUCACCAAGGAGGAUGAACGGGGGGAAGGGAGACCGAGGAGCAUCACGUCCAGGAGGCCUAGCGAGGGCCCCCAGCCUUUGGUACGAAGGAAAAUGACUGGCAGUCGCGACUUGAAUAGGACUUUUACCCCGAUUCCAUGCUCAGAAUUCCCCAUGGGCAUCGACCCCACCGAGACAGGACCGCAGGCAGUGGAAACCGCAGGAGAGGUGUGUGGUGGGCCUCUGGCCCUUGGCGGAUUCGAUCCGUUCCCCCAGGGACCAUCCACGGAUGGCUUCUUCCUUCAUGUAGGCAGGGCCGAUGAAGACACCGAGGGAAGGUUAUAUGUUAGUUGUUCAAAAAGCCCCAACUCCCACGAUUCGGAGCCGUGGACUCUCCUCAGGCAGGAUUCUGACUCGGAUGUGGUGGACAUAGAGGAAGCCGAGCACGAUUUCAUGGGUGAGGCCCAUCCUGUGGUUCUCAGCAGAUACAUUGGGGAGGAAGAGUCGGCCAAACUGCAAGAGGACAUGAAGGUGAAGGAACACGAAGACAAAGAUGACGCCAGCGGCCGCUCGAGCCCCUGCCUGAGCACAGCCUCUCAGAUGAGCAGCGUCUCCAUGGCAAGUGGGAGCGUGAAGAUGACCAGCUUUGCGGAGAGGAAGCUCCAGAGACUCAACAGCUGUGAGACCAAGUCCAGCACCAGCAGUUCCCAGAAGACCACGCCAGAUGCGUCUGAGAGCUGCCCAGCCCCUCUGACGACGUGGAGGCAGAAGAGGGAGCAGAGCCCAAGCCGGCAUGGCAGGGACCCCGCCAGCCUCCUGGCAUCUGAGCUGGUACAGCUGCACAUGCAGCUGGAGGAGAAGCGCAGGGCCAUUGAGGCCCAGAAAAAGAAGAUGGAGGCGCUGUCGGCAAGGCAGCGCCUGAAGCUCGGCAAGGCUGCGUUCCUGCAUGUGGUGAAGAAGGGCAAGGCCGAGGCUUCCCCGCCCCUCAGGCCGGAGCACUUUGCAAAGGAGUACUCUCAGCACAACGGGGAGGACUGUGGGGACGCCGUUUCCAAAACUGAAGACUUUCUCAUGAAGGAGGAGCAGAGAGAGGAGCUCCUUCACGAGCCUCAGGAUGUGGACAAAGAGAGCCUGGCCUUUGCUCAGCAACAUAAAGCAAAAGACCCUGUGGCUCUGCACGAGCUGGAGAGAAAUAAGGUGAUCUCUGCCGCCCUCCUGGAGGACACCGUUGGGGAGGUUGUUGACGUGAAUGAAUGUGACCUUUCCAUCGAGAAGCUCAACGAAACCAUCAGUACCCUGCAGCAGGCCAUCCUGAAAAUCUCUCAGCAGCAGGAGCAGCUUCUCAUGAAGUCCCCCACAGUCCCAGUGCCGGGCUCUAGGAAUAACUCGCAGGACCACAAAGUGAAGGCGCCAGUCCACUUCGUGGAGCCACUCUCCCCCACGGGCGUGGCUGGCCACCGCAAAGCCCCCCGGCUGGGUCAAGGCCGGAAUUCCCGUUCUGGAAGGCCGGCGGAGCUGAAGGUCCCGAAAGACAGGCCACAGGGCUCCUCCCGAAGUAAAACCCCAACGCCCAGUGUGGAGACGCUCCCGCACUUGAGACCCUUCCCUGCCAGCAGCCACCCUUGGACGCCCACGGACCCUGGCCUGGACGGUGCCCUGGAGCCCAGUGGUGACCCACAUGGGAAGUGUCUCUUCGACAGUUACAGGCUCCACGAUGAAAGCAAUCAGCGGACACUUACUCUGUCCUCUUCCAAAGAUGCCAACAUUCUUUUGGAGCAGAUGAGCCUCAAAGAGGUUCUGGAUGCGACUGUGAAGGAGGUGGGGCCCAGCUCCUCAGAUGUCUCAGGAAAAGAGAGCAUCCCUGUGGAGGAGCCUCUGAGGAGCAGGGCCAGCCUCAUUGAAGUGGACCUCUCUGACCUGAAGGCCCCUGACGAGGAUGGGGAGCUGGCAAGCCUCGAUGGCUCGGCGGACCUUGUCAGCGAAGGCGACCAGAAGCCGGGGGUUGGCUUCUUCUUCAAGGAUGAACAGAAGGCGGAAGAUGAGCUCGCCAAGAAGCGGGCGGCCUUCCUCCUGAAGCAGCAGCGCAAGGCCGAGGAGGCCCGCGUGCGCAAGCAGCAGCUGGAAGCGGAGGUGGAGCUCAAGCGUGACGAAGCCCGGCGCAAAGCUGAGGAAGACCGGGUGCGGAAGGAGGAGGAGAAGGCGCGGCGCGAGCUCAUCAAGCAGGAGUACCUGCGGAGGAAGCAGCAGCAGAUCCUAGAGGAGCAGGGGCUCGGCAAGCCCAAGUCAAAGCCGAAGAAGCCGCGGCCGAAGUCGGUGCACCGGGAAGAGUCGUGCAGCGACUCUGGCACCAAGUGCUCCUCCACCCCUGAUAACUUGAGCCGGACUCAGUCAGGCUCCAGCCUGUCCUUGGCCUCUGCGGCGACGACAGAACCCGAGAGCGUUCACUCUGGGGGCACACCCUCUCAGCGAGUGGAAUCGAUGGAAGCCCUGCCCAUACUGAGCCGUAACGCGAGCAGGAGCACAGACCGAGACUGGGAGACCGCGUCGGCGGCAUCUUCCCUGGCCUCAGUGGCUGAGUACACAGGUCCCAAGCUCUUUAAGGAGCCCAGUAGUAAAUCAAACAAACCGAUUAUUCACAAUGCCAUAUCCCAUUGCUGCCUGGCUGGAAAAGUGAAUGAACCCCACAAGAAUUCCAUAUUGGAGGAGCUGGAGAAGUGUGAUGCCAAUCACUACAUCAUACUGUUCCGUGAUGCUGGCUGCCAGUUCAGGGCGCUUUACUGCUACUAUCCUGACACUGAGGAAAUCUACAAACUCACUGGCACGGGGCCAAAGAGCAUCACCAAGAAAAUGAUCGACAAGCUGUAUAAAUACAGCUCAGACCGAAAACAGUUUAACUUGAUCCCAGCCAAAACCAUGUCUGUCAGUGUGGACGCACUCACAAUCCACAACCACCUGUGGCAGCCCAAGCGGCCCGCAGUGCCAAAGAAGGCCCAGACUCGUAAAUGACCCCGGUGCAGCCGGCGUCCGAAGGGUGACCCAGACUCGUAAAUGACGCCCUUGUGGCCGGCAUCCAGAGGGUGCCACGAGGUCCUUAUUUAUUGUUUUCAUCUGUUUGGGUACGAAGUGUGCAAAGUCACAGACCUUUUGCAAAGAGGUUUCUAGACAGCAGAAGAAAACCCCUCUCUCAGCGCUCAUCUCACGCAGAGGAUGCCAGGCAGGGAAAAUACCAGUUCACUGAAAUCUGCACAGUCUGUCUUCCGCUAAAAUAACGUUUACAAAUGUGAAGGUGAUGAUUUCUGGCACGCAGUCAUGAGGAUGGGGAAUGGCACUAGGAGCUGAUGUUUGCCUCAUUUAAAGUAGGCAAGCUGAGCCAACUGCAGCCAUCAUUAGUUAAGUUUUGGAUAGUGCUCUGAUUUGUUCACUUUAAUAAAGACAGAUUUUGGUAAAGUAGAA